rnacentral:lncRNA from 1 species
UGGACUUAAACACCCCGCCCCCAGGAGCCGCUCCUUGGGCCCAGGUGAAAGGGAUUUGGGGGGAAAGCAGCCAGCCAAUGGGCAGCCACGACAGCACAGAGGGGAGAGACAAAAGGACCACCAGCCCUUCCCACUCCAGCCUUUUCUCCUGAGCUUCUGCCUUGCCGUCCUUCGCGGGGGGGGGGGGGGUCUGGAAGAUGCCGCCUUUGUUUGUUCUGAACUAAGGAUUCCUUAUGGGUUUUUUGGGGGGAUGGGGGGCACUGGGUUAGACUUUCUAUCUCUUGAGGUGUUCUAGAUUUCAGGCAAACUCAGAAAGGGUCUCAGCGUUUCCUGACCUGGGGGAGACAGAAAGAGCGGCAGUGAAAUUGCUUCGAGUCAGAAGCAAAAAGGGCGUUGGGAAUCCUGGGGCCUCGGAGCUGGGUUGGGGGGGGGGUCUGUCUGCCUGUAUGGAAGCCUCUUCAGGCUCUGGGUCCACCGUAAGCCUUGCCUUCCACCUCGGGGCUACCUUGGGGGGCUGGAGAAGGGACUUGUAAGGGGAAAGGAAGGGAGCUGUCUGCCUAAGAGCCCACUCCACUAGCAACAGCUUGUUCCGACUCUUCCUUGAAGCUUUCAAGAAUCAAGAAGCUACCCUUCUCCCUCUGAGGUCUCUUGAGAAGGUUCUAACCCACAGGUGGGACCCCCAAGCCCUGAUCUGCCCGUGGGCUCCCUGUGGGGCAUGCCAGGUAUAGUGGAGGGGGUUGGGAUGAUAAGACUUGGUCCCUGUUAGCUGGGCUGUCUAGCUAACAGGUGGUAUGCUCAGCGAACCCGCAGGCACCCUCCCACCACCACUCUUCCAACCUAUCUUCUCCCGUGAGAUGGGGCUUCCCCAGUCCCAGCCGUCCAGGGCUCUCUGCGGGCUGCUGUACGACCUUGCAAGGACGCUGGGCUGAGAGUCCGCCUUCCGCGGCGUGGAAGGAGAUGGAUGAGCAUGCUAAUUGCAACUCAAUUUCUGAUAGCUGUGAGCAGCUCUUGGCGUGGGUUAAGCUACCUGGGUCUUUUCCUUGGCAGGAGAAGAGCGUCCAGUAGGAGCUCCGCUUUCGUAGGCAUUUCUCAAUUUCCUCCAAGUUACUCUUACGACUGAAGCAAGUCAGCUCUGGCCUGGGAAACAGUGGGGCUGGGAGUGUGCUGGGAGCACGUCUGAAACCCCACUGAAUUCUGAGUCUGUGCCGUGCAGGGAGUAAGUGCCAAGGCACUGAGGUCGGGCUGCCUGAGCUGGAAUCUCAGCCCUGCUGUGUCCUGUGGACCUUGGGCAGGUUACUUAACCUCUCUGUGCUUCUGUUUUCCCAUUAUUAAACUGGGGGCAUAGUACUAGUCAUGGGGUUAUGCCUACCAAAUGGAUACACUGAUCGAAUGAUCAAAUCUUUCUACUAGAACAAGGUAGGGGUCAGAAAAAGCUGACACAAAGCUAAUUUGGGGAAAACGCUUUCUGAAGGAUUGAGGCUCCAGGGGAAAGGCCGCUGCUUCACUCCCUUCCGGGCCCGUGCAAGCGGAGAGCUCCCAGUCAUGCAGCAUCGGCAGGUUGGCCUGGGACCGUUUCCUCUGCAUCUUCCCUGAACUCUGCUCCUGGUGUGACGGGAAGGGAGGAAGGAGGGCCCCCCAUGGCUCAGUCCUCAGGAGCACUUUCUCCCCGAGAAUCCCUGUGGAUCACGUGGAGAUCAAGGCAGCUUGGGCAAAGUGGGGCCUCACUUCUCAGACCAGCCCCUUUCCUUUGGCCCUCCCCGAGAGAGACCGGCAUUCCUGCCCCGUGGGGCCGCCAUCUUGCACAGCUUUUUCUCAAGCCCCGCGUGCAGCGAAUAGCUAAGUCUGGGCACCUGGCCAUACAGCCGUACCUCUCGCCCUGUAGGUUCUCCUGCCUGACUUACAUCAAGUGUGAGGCUUACCCGAUGCUUAAGAUCCCAGCUGCUGUUCGGGAGCAUUACAUUGGCGCUACAGCGAAAGCUUCACAAGUGAAGGCCUCUAACUUUGGAAACCAAGACUGACUCGGGUGCUGAAACAGAUGUGAGGACAGAUGUGUGGCCUGGGGUCCCUUCGACCAUCACCUACAUCCUCUGAUCAAUGAUCCACAUGGGUGUGAACUGGGGGUUCACAGGACCCAUUGGGUGUCAGCCCCACUACUUGUGUUUAUCGGUGGUAGCAUAGCAAGUCACUUCACAGCUCUAGGAUGAUUCUUUCCUGAUCAGACUGCUGGUAACAACAGCUCCCACGUGAUGAGCGAUUAGUAUGUACUAAGUACUGACCUGCCUCUGAAUUAACAAGUUUAUCAUGAAGUUGAAGCUGAAACUGGGCUCUGUAGUCCAAAUUUAGUCUUGUUUGUCUUAGAAACUUAAUCUCCACAAAACCUAGAUGUGCCCCAUUGGGAUGGCAUUCUCAGUGGAUCAUUAUUACCCCAUUACUAGGGACUGUCAUCAUCCUCUUUAAAUGAGAAAUACUUUGGGGGAUGAAACCACUUGCCCAGGGUCCCAUAACCUACAACUGCAAAGUCUGAACUUAGUUUAGCCCAGCUUGUUGGAGUCAUCAGAACUAUCUCCUUGGCGUCCUUCUGAAUUCCACACAUCUGUUAAUACCUGGGUAGAUGGUAGCUGUGACUACCAACAUCUUGAUCUGAGCAUUCAUCAUGCCUCGACCAUCUUCAUACGUGAAACAAGGAGUGAUUUCUCAUGAGUCACUCAUUGUGCCCCAAGAGAUUCUGCUGUGGGAAUCGGGCUGUUUCUCCUACACACCCCUGCCUACUCAGUUACCCCCUUCUCCUCCCAACCCCAGUGCCCCCUCUUCCUCCCCUAAGGAACCUUUGACUUCAGUCCAACGUCUUGUUUCACCCAGUUCCCAUGGCUGUGACCUUGUGCCCAACACCUUAUAACUAGUACAACUCCAGAAUGUUGGGUUCCCAUCAACUAAUGGCUUUGAUUGCCCUCCGUGGCCUUAUGUAAACAGCCAGAUGUAUCAGGUGGGCCAGCUUUGUGACACUGUCACAGCCCUGAAGGCUUUUGCCUAUCGCUGUGUGGCAAUUGGGGGCUCUGGGGAGAGAAUCUCAGUCAUGGAUGAAGGAAACUUGUAGGAAGUUGGAGCGUGGGUGGCUUAGUAAUCAGAACUUGCAUUGGCAUCAUGGUGGUCGUCCAGGAGAGACUGAAUACUUCCUUGAAGUCCCUACUAGACCCAAGAUUGGGCUAGAGGGACAGUGGACCUGUCCUAGGGGCUGAUUUCUAAACCCAACUGUUCUUGCUCUAACUUAGGUCUUAAAAGUGCUUUGAUCUAAGCAAGUCUCAGAGAUCCAAGCCAAUAAAAAAUGCAUCUAGGGGCUUCUAUCAGGAAAAGUGUCUGCUCUGACACAUGCUGUCUGCCUAGGUUGUAGUUUCUUUUGAAAGACUCCAGAAGGAUCCAUCCCUCGGCUAUAAGGCUGUCACAUGCCUGAGGCUUUCUAGUCCUCCUGGGAUAAAGCACUGAAAACAAGCUUGGAGAACUUCAUGCCCCAGUACAGUAAUGCUCCAACCAUCUGAUAUAACUCAUGCCCUGUGCCUGAAUUCAGUAUGGCGCUCACUGGCAACUUGGGGUUCAGGAGUCAGGGAAGGCCUGUGAGAAGUGACAUCUGAGCACGUGCCUGAACUAACGGAGUCUGUACAAAAAUUGCACACACCCCAAGUGGAAGGAACAGCCAGUGUAAAUGUUCUGAGGUAGGAAUGGGUUUGAGACAGAAAGAAUGCGGCUGAAAUACAAAAUGAGCAGGUGGGGUAGUGGCAGUGGUUAGAUGGGGACACAGAUCGACAGGAGCUAGAUUCUGUGGGACCUUGUUAAUGAUGAAAUGGAGAUUUAUCCCAAGGAGGAUGCGAAGGCAUCAGCAAUCGAAGCUUGUGAGUGUUUGUGUUAAUCACUGGCAGCUGUCUGAAACGGAUUACCAGCAGCAAGAAGUAGGGGUUAUCAGUUAGGAAGAUUCCGGUUAUCCAGCUGUUCCUGCGAAACAGUCCCUGGAAACUUCAAGUCUCUCUCAUAGUUAAAGAUGAGUGCUGGAAGGGACCUUGGACCGCUUAGCCAGACUGCCCCUUUGUAUAGAUGAGGAACGCAGGCCUAUCUGUGGAAAAACUUGUUUCAGGUCUGAGCUAAGCUUGCAGCCCAGAUCCUGACUUGGCUUAGCACUGGCUGCUCUGCUCUUCAGGUCCUCCCUACUCCCUCCCCUUUGUUGAAUCUGCUCUCGACCUAUUGCCUGCAAGGAGGGCCCUGAUGAAACAUCUGCAUCAAUUGAUUCAUUGAUGCCUUGAGUAACUCUGCUCCCAUUGGAGAUAAAUAAUGCAUGCCCCGACGCGGAGUUCUGGCAUGGCAUUGACUGAGAACCAGGGGGAGGAUGGGGCAACUGUCAGCACAAUGUGAAGUGUGGUCUAGGAAUUGACUCUCCAGUAGACGGACAGAAGCACGUGCACCUGGGUUUCAGCAAAGGCAACAUGCGGGACCAGUCAAGACGAAUCCAACUUUCUUUGUGAGCCUCAACUUCCGGCCCUUCAUCUGAGUCUUGCUCUAGCAUCUCACUGUGGAUGUCGAUAAAGUGGCACCUUCCUUCAUCUCCUUUCAGAACUUAUUGAGCACAUGUCAUAUGCUGGUUGCUGGCAAAGAGUCUGGCCUGAUCUAAUUGGGAUAAGGCAUGCUUAGAUGGAUAAACAGAUUUCAGGCAACAAUGGAUCUCCUCUUUGGGGAGACCUUUCUAUAUAGUCUACUGUGGGAUCUCUCAUUACACUUUCUCUUAAGUCCCAGGAAGUCAUAAGUUUGGAAACUUCUAAGCAGAAGGGCCUGUGCACAGACCUGGGGGCCAGAGAGCCAAGCCUGAUGCAAGGGAUGGCACAUGACAUGAGCUGGAGAGGAGGGCAGGGGGUCGGACAGCUCCCCUUCCUGAAUCACACUGGAAUAGACUUGAGGGUGGAUUACGCGUUGUGGUUUUGUCUUUCCAAGUGGGCUGAGGGCUGGAAGGUGGCCCCUUGGGUUUAUUCUUCCCAGCAGUUAGCACAGGAACACACUGGAAGCAAGGAGGGCAGGCCUAAAAUCCUGGUGUUUCUGGGGUGGAGGGGAGAGAAACUCAGAGGUAGUUGAAUCUUCAGGUGAGGCAAGAGCAUGCAUCAGCUUCACUGUGGGAUGGAAGGAAUGCUCCUGGUUAACAUGAACUCCUGAGGUCAAGUGCAUUCACUGUACUAGUUUGGGUUAAACGUCUGCAUUAGACAUCUUUAGCAGGCUCAGCUGGACUUAGAGUUUUUAGGCUAAUGUUAGCCCUAGAAUAUCAAUCAGGAGGCCUUGGCUUGCUGGAGACUUCUACGCAGGUGGUUUUGGCUGGCCUUUUCUCGAAGGUAUUUCUUGCCCUAAUGUUGGGCUUGCGAGGUCUACUUGUCUUGCCUGCUCACAAGAGGAACUUCCAAGUCUAAGAGGCAGCAAGGAUGAGAUGUAAGGUGAAGCUUAACACAUCAGAUGAAUUCGUCUGAAGGUCUUUCCCCAUCCUCAGAUCACACUGUUUCCUAAAAGCAAACCAGCCUAAAGGUCCUGACGUAUAGUAGGUACUCAAACAUAGAUCCCCAAAUAUUGGGUGGUUAUUCUGGGUUGCCCUAUGAAACAGUCCUCUUCUCAGGAGACCAGACUUAGACAGAGGCUCAGAUUUGUGUUUAAUGGAACUAGCAUGGGGUGGGGUGAGUAUGGCUCCGACUGGGGAGAUGUCAACUAUAAAUGUUUCUCCCGAGAGGCCCACCACACAGUCCGAGUGACUUAGGUCUCAAUUAACAGACGGGUGACGAGAGAAAUGGAUAUUAUGCUCCGAUGUUGGCUAACUGAGCCACCCUAACCUCAGCUGAGUGAACUGACCCACCUCCAGCUCUGGCCUAGUGAGCCUCGUCAAGCAUUAUCUGAAGCCCCGGGGGGCUUGACUGUCUCCAGUAGAGAAUGGUGGAGACUGAGGCGUAGAUACCAUCCCCAGGGCCUUACUUGAAAGGGGACGCCCCAAAUCCCCGCAGCCACCUGUGUGGUUCUCUUGUUAGGCUUGUGUGUCUGUGCUGCUCUACAGCCCUUAUGACAACUGUGGCUGCACAUGGAGCCUGUACCCGUGCUCUAUUGCUGGGUAGCACAAAUCUGGCAGCUUAAAAUAGACUUAGUAGCUUAUAGUUCCGCAGGUACUGACCAGGCACAGCGUGGCUGGGUUCUCUGCUCAGAUACCCUAAGGGUGAAGUCAAAGUACCUACUGGGCUGUGUUCUCAUGUGGAGUCAAGGGCGACUCAGCCUCCAGGCUCAUUCUUGUUAGUCGGUUCCUUGCAGCAUAAGGCUGUCGUCUCCAUGCUGGCUGUCAGCUGGCGGCCACUCAGCUCCGAGAGGCCUCUUGCAUCCCUUGCCGUGUGGCCCCCUCCAUCUGCAAGCUGGCGAUAGUGUUGUGAAUCUUUCUUGUGCUUUGAGUUUCUGACUGCUUUUGACUUCUAGACUCAAACCUGACGGGCUCAAGUAGGGUGAGGCCCACCCAGGAUAAUCGUCCUCUUGCCACAUAAUGUAACAAUCCCAGGAGUGAGAUCUCAGCACGUGUUCCACCCACACUCAAGGGGCAUGAGCAUAUGGGGGGAAUCUUGGGGGCCGUCUUGGGGGACAGCCUAUCACCCCUGUGGCUUCUGAUCCUUUGCUAGACUCGAGGACAGGAAUCUUAUCUCCCUCACUGUACUCGGCACCUAUGACAGACUAGAGCAUAGAUGUCGGAGCUCCUGGGACCUGAGUCUUGAAUACUCAGGAACUAAGAACCUUCUGUGGGAUUUAAUCGUGUCUUUCCGCAGAUGCAGCCUUCAAGCCAAGACAGGAAAGGAACACUAACGACACAUCCCAACUUGAUCUUAUUUAAAAACUGUAUCCUCCCGGCUUGCUAUGACAUCCAAAGCACUUGUAGAAGUCCCACUUAGGAAACGGGCACUGCUAUUACUGUCAUUAUCCCCAACCGGAACUACGAGCAAUGAUGGACCCAACCUCUUACACGUGUCCACUUGCAGAAUGUGGGCCUGAGAGCAAUUCAACUUAAACGCGCUUGUGAGGGAGUGAGCAAAGGGUUUUCCUUUAGUACUUUUCUUGUGACAAUCCCUAUGUUGGGUGGGUGCUGCCCCCUUUGGGUCAGAGGGAGUAGUCGUGCUAGCCUUGUGUUCACUGGCAUAGUCAAGUGUCAGGAAAGCCAGCAGCCAAGACCUUACUUCCUUCUAUCCUCAUCAGGACUCACUCCCAGGUGGUUACUGCCCUUCAAAAAAAAAAAAAAAAAAACUGCUAGGUGCUGCCCACUCUUUCCCCUUCACGUUCUUGGAGGAUUAGUUUGGAGGCUGGGGCAGUGUGAUGUCAAAGGCGGGGAAAUCAACCCUAAUUCCGUCCUGAGCCCUACUUUUCCUCUGUAAGAUGGAGUGAAACCAUCUGCACACAGUGCACCUGCCGCCAUUCCUCCCUGGACCGUUGCUAAUGCACCACAGCACUUGGUCCACAGUGAGCUUCUGCACGGAUGUGGACGUCUUCUCAACACAGCAGUCGAGGGCAGCUCCAAGCAGAACUGCAGACUAGUAUUCGGCAUUUCCUAAGAAGGCAAGAGUAUGGCUUGGAACGAGUCUCGGUCCUCAGUUCUCUACCCAGGCGGCAUUCCCUGGCGUAGGGGCUCCACUGGGUCAGCCCGGGGCUGCA